UGCAGCUCCAAGCGGGUGGUAAAUUCCAUCUAAGGCUAAAUACUGGCGAGAGACCGAUAGCGAACAAGUACUGUGAAGGAAAGAUGAAAAGCACUUUGAAAAGAGAGUGAAACAGCACGUGAAAUUGUUGAAAGGGAAGGGUAUUGCGCCCGACAUGGGGAUUGCGCACCGCUGCCUCUCGUGGGCGGCGCUCUGGGCUUUCCCUGGGCCAGCAUCGGUUCUUGCUGCAGGAGAAGGGGUUCUGGAACGUGGCUCUUCGGAGUGUUAUAGCCAGGGCCAGAUGCUGCGUGCGGGGACCGAGGACUGCGGCCGUGUAGGUCACGGAUGCUGGCAGAACGGCGCAACACCGCCCGUCUUGAAACACGGA
rnacentral:rRNA from 1 species